rnacentral:rRNA from 1 species
AGCGAACGCUGGCGGCAGGCUUAACACAUGCAAGUCGAGCGGGCCCUUCGGGGUCAGCGGCGGACGGGUGAGUAACGCGUGGGAACGUGCCUUCUGGUUCGGAAUAACCCUGGGAAACUAGGGCUAAUACCGGAUACGCCCUUAUGGGGAAAGGUUUACUGCCGGAAGAUCGGCCCGCGUCUGAUUAGCUAGUUGGUGGGGUAACGGCCUACCAAGGCGACGAUCAGUAGCUGGUCUGAGAGGAUGAUCAGCCACACUGGGACUGAGACACGGCCCAGACUCCUACGGGAGGCAGCAGUGGGGAAUAUUGGACAAUGGGCGCAAGCCUGAUCCAGCCAUGCCGCGUGAGUGAUGAAGGUCUUAGGGUUGUAAAGCUCUUUUAUCCGGGACGAUAAUGACGGUACCGGAGGAAUAAGCCCCGGCUAACUUCGUGCCAGCAGCCGCCGUAA